AUUGAACGCUGGCGGCAGGCCUAACACAUGCAAGUCGAGCGAGCGGCGGACGGGUGAGUAAUGUAUGGGGACUGCCCGAUCGAGGGGGAUAACUACUGGAAACGGUAGCUAAUACCGCAUACUAUCGGAUAACCCAUAUGGGAUUAGCUAGUAGGUGCGGUAAUGGCUCACCUAGGAGACGAUCCCUAGCUGGUCUGUGAGGAUGAUCAGCCACACUGGGACUGAGAAACGGCCCAGACGCCUACGGAGGCAGGAGUGGGGAAUAUUGCACAAUGGGCGCAAGCCUGAUGCAGCCAUGCCGAGUGUAUGAAGAAGGCCCUAGGGUUGUAAAGUACUUUCAGUCGGGAGGCGUUACCGACAGAAGAAGCACCGGCUAACUCCGUGCCAGCAGCCGCGGUAAUUC
rnacentral:rRNA from 1 species